rnacentral:pre_miRNA from 2 species
UGUGAAUCUUUCUUCCAGGUUCUUCCAAUUUCUGGACUCUCCAUUUUGUAUUGCGUAUACAACAAACGCAAUACAAAAUGGAGAGACCAGAAAUUGGUGGUAAUAAGUUAACA